UACGAAGGGGGCUAGCGUUGCUCGGAAUGACUGGGCGUAAAGGGCGCGUAGGCGGAUGGUACAGUCAGAUGUGAAAUUCCCGGGCUUAACCUGGGGGCUGCAUUUGAUACGUGCGAUCUGGAGUGAGGAAGAGGGUCGUGGAAUUCCCAGUGUAGAGGUGAAAUUCGUAGAUAUUGGGAAGAACACCGGUGGCGAAAGCGGCUCACUGGGUCUCUUCUGACGCUGAGGCACGAAAGCUAGGGUAGCGAACGGG
rnacentral:rRNA from 1 species